rnacentral:lncRNA from 1 species
GCUGAUGCCCUCAUUCACCGCCGCAGCAUCCAGGUUGCCUGGAAAAUGUACCUGCACACUCUCUGUGAUCUUUCACUCAAGAUAAGGAACUGUGACUUCCCCAAAAUCAGGCAGUUGCUGGGUUUAGAAGGAUUCCCUUGUUGCUGAAUCUUUAGACCAAGGAAUAGAAUAAUAGAAGAACAUCAAAUAAGGAAAUCAACCCUAACCCUUUUUCUGACUGAGAACACCCUCAUACUGCAUGGCUCCAAAUAAACAAAGUGCUGAUGGGAAUCGCCUGCCUCUAGGAUAUUCAAGACUUGUGGAGUAGUGGCUUUAUUUUGUAGCACUUGUUUGUAU